rnacentral:rRNA from 1 species
GACGAACGCUGGCGGCGUGCUUAACACAUGCAAGUCGAACGGAAAGGCCCUGCUUGCAGGGUACUCGAGUGGCGAACGGGUGAGUAACACGUGGGUGAUCUGCCCUGCACUUCGGGAUAAGCCUGGGACACUGGGUCUAAUACCGGAUAGGAGCCAUUUUUAGUGUGAUGGUUGGAAAGUUUUUUCGGUGUAGGAUGAGCUCGCGGCCUAUCAGCUUGUUGGUGGGGUAAUGGCCUACCAAGGCGGCGACGGGUAGCCGGCCUGAGAGGGUGGACGGCCACAUUGGGACUGAGAUACGGCCCAGACUCCUACGGGAGGCAGCAGUGGGGAAUAUUGCACAAUGGGCGCAAGCCUGAUGCAGCGACGCCGCGGGGGGGAUGACGGUCUUCGGGUUGUAAACUCCUUUCGCUAGGGACGAAGCUUUUUGUGACGGUACCUAGAUAAGAAGCACCGGCUAACUACGUG